AUUCAAGACAUUCACACACUGUGUGGCUUUCUGCACCUGGCCGCUUCCAUGCAGCAAAAUGUUUUCAAGGUCCGUCACGGUGCAGUGUGUGUCAGAGCUUCAUUCCUUCUCGUGACCCGAUAAUAUUCCAUUGUCUGGAUGGACCGUGUGUUGUUUACCCAUCAUCUGCUGAUGGGCGUUUGGCCGUUUCCACCUGUUAGCGGUCUUGAACCGCGCGCCGGGAGCACACCUGCGCGGGCGUCCGGGUGCACUUGUCCUUCCUCUGGGGUGUGUACCUAGGCGUGCAAUUGCUGGGUCACCUGGAAACUCUGUUUAACUGUUUGAGAAACUUCUGGACUGUUUUCCACAACGGCUGCACCGUUUCACCUCCACCAGUGUUGCACGAGGUUGAACAGGAAGGUUUAAGGUCAGUGAUCACUGACGAUUUAAAGGGAUUUGUUCUAAGACGAGAGAGAGAGAACUGAAGUGCUCCAGAGCUCAGGGAGAGCCCGCAGGGAAGGAAGCGCAGGAGGUCCUGCAUGCACAGCCCGGGUGGGGAAGCCCAUGGGGCCGCCCAGGCCCAGAGCUGGUCCAGUCUGCAGGCCGAGCUGGCAGGCAGGGAACCGGACCUAAAAUGCAAUGGGGUGGACGGCACUGAGUGUCACCUGUGGACCUCGGGCAGACAUGGAGUGGGCAGGAGAGAGCCCCUUCUCCCUCCUGCAGACCCCUGGUGCCCUCACCUCCAAACCUGACAUCAGGUGAAAGAGCGACGCUUACAGGGGCCAGCACGGGUUGCGGGGAAGGCUGCACUUGGGGCUGGCGGGCAGUGGGUCCAUCACCACACACUCUUUGCUGGUGGCUAGGGCAGUUUUCUUUUGAAUUCCACAUUCUUUCCAAGACCAGCAAGCUUUCCUUGGAUCGCCACCCAGCUUUGACUUCUGUCUGGGGACGAAGUGCCCCCUCCCGGUCAGCACGGACCUGAGUCUAUCCACAGUUUGCCCGAGGGAUGAGCUCUGGGAGGCCCCGGAGUCUGGCUGUAUUGCCCACGAGUAGUGUUGAGAAGACGGCUCUGACCCGGGCUUGGGGACCUCGGCCGAGCCAGGUGCCAGGACCUGACACUGCAGCAUUCAGGUCAAGGCCACUGAGCGGUCCUUGGGGGUCUGAGUAUCUUCUGGCCAGCAGGACAAAUGACCACAAAUCACCAUGUGGCUCAAAACAACGGGACUUCAUUCUGCCAGUUCUGGAGGCCGGAAGCCCCCAGUCAGCAUCGCUGGGCUGAACUCACAGUGUCACAGGGCCUGCUCCCUCUGGAGCCUCCGGGGGGCGGUCCUUCCUGCCUCUUCCAGCUCCCGGGGGCUUCAGGCGUCCCUGGCUUGUGGUCACAUCCCUCCAGUCUCUGCCGGAGGAAGAAGCCGUGGGACGACGGAGGCUGCGAUUGGAGUGAUGCAGCCACAAGCCAGGGACGCCGAGGACCACCGGCACCACCAGAAGCUGGAGGCAGGCAAGGAGCAGACGCUCCCUCAGAGGCUCCAGGAGGAGCUGGCCCUGCCCACUCCUCGAUUUGGGACUUCGGCCUCCAGACCGUGAGAGAGUCAAUUCCUGCUGUUUUAAGCCCCUGGUUUGUGGUGCUGUGCAGCGGGGGCCCCGGGAAGCUAAUGCACCGGCAGCAGAGUCAGCAGGUGCCAGGCCGUGUGAACAUCUCACAGGCUUCAGCUCGCUGGAUCCUGUCCCGUUUCUGCAGAUGUGGAGACCAGGCUCAGUGGGUCACUUGAGGUCACUCCAGGAGCGACGGCGAUGGGUCAGGAUCCCUGCGAUUGUCCUCACAUGUGGCGCCGGCUUAGCUCUCCUCCACCCCAGGCAGGGCAGUCUCCACAGGUGACCAGGGGCUGUGGUCACCCUGAGGCUCCAGGGCUCAGCUGGCCGCCUCUGCCCUCAUUCUCCUUCCAGGGCAGGUCUCCUGACAAGACCAACUUGCUUCUAAGAUGUCGAUUCCUAGCUGCUCUCGCUCUCCGGGCUCCCUGGGGAAGGCCUGGGCAUCUCACCCCUUCUCAGUGGGGACCGGGCGCGCUUCAAUCGUGGAGCCCUUACACCCGCCACCCCAAGUCUGUCCACGGGUGUCCUCCUCGUCGGGGCCCCCAUGGGGUGUGCCCUCCCCCCAGAAAGUUCCUUCUGAGCCAGGCACUCCGGCAGCCAUGGUAAUCAUCAGCCCAGUGCCCAAGGCAGCAGCCAGCAUCUUAGCGUUUCCACAAAGAGGUUCCUGAGAUGCUAAUUUUCAAGAACAAAAGCCGGCAUCACGGUGGCUGCUUCCUGGAACAGACCAGCUCCCCAAGCCUCUGGCCUGGGACCAGCGGCCCACACCUGUGUUCUCUGCCCUUGUGGCAGGCGUGGAGAGCGACGUCUUCAUCCUUGUCCUGGGGCCCAGGUGACCUCAGCCGGCUGUGGGCACUUGCUGGGCACGUUAUGCCAACGUGUCUGAUUUGCCUCAUUCACCUUCCAGACUCCAUGGAGGUCACAGGCGCCAGGGCACCACUGAGAGUACCCAGCAGCCAGUAGUUGUUGAAGGCCCAGUGCAGCAGAAAGGGGGCCACCCCUGGGCAGGCAGCCAGAUAGAGGCCAGCCCAUCCUGGGCAGGUGGUCAGGCAGAGGCUGGUCCACCCUGGGGCUGGCAGUGGGCCUCCUGCAGGGGGUCAUCUGAGUGGCCCUGCCGUUUCCCCAACAGCCCAGGGGCCCUGAGACCGGUCCCUGGGGCUCUUCCUGCCCUCUAUCUUUCACGUAAGCAGAGCCAUGAGACCCCAGAUGUUCCUCACCUCGUCCCGCCCUGCAGUCCUGGAGGCCAGGCUGCAGAAUGUCACCUUCCUGCCUGACUGGGAGGGGCUGGUCUUGUGUCUGCAGGUGGGUUCUCCCUGUUAGUGAGUCAUUUCGGGAUGAGCGUUACAUACCCUCACUUGCUGGCCUUCCGUCCAGAAGUCCUUGAUUGACUCUGACCUUGCUCUUUCUUGAAGAUGGCGUGUGUGUAAGUGUGUGCAGACCUGCAGGGCGGCAAAGCCACUUACACAGCGCACACGUUGGGCAAAGAAAACGAAGACUUUAACUUUUCCUUAUGAACCCGGACCACCAAGAUGCAAAGGGCUCCUGCGGGUCGCCCAGGGCAGUUGCAUGAAAUGGGUGCUCUCUACCCUGAAGCGCCACCCAGCAGCCCCUCACGCAGCCACCCGCCGGCAGGCUCACCCUCCGCAGGCGCCCCCCACCCUAAAUCACUGGAAACACUUACCUGCUUUUCCUUAUAUUUUUACCACCUCAUUUGCAUUUCUAAGCGCCAUGCUUUCAUUUUAUCUGCUUCGAAAUGUACAGGAAUGGUGCCACACAGGGCACAUUCUUUUGUGUCUAGCUUUUUUUUAGUGGAAUAUCAUGUUUGCAUGAUUCAUCCACGUUACAUUUUAAAUUAAUUAAUUUAUUUUCUGUUGUGGUAGAAUAUACAUAAAAAUUUACCAUCUUAGCCAAUUUUAAGUGCACAGUUCAGUGGCAUUAAGCGCAUUCUCAUUGUUGUGCAGCCGUCCCUGGCAUCCGUCUCCAGGACUUUCUCAUCUUCCCAGACUGAAGCUCUGACCCCACUGAACGCUCACCCCCGCCCCUCCCCAGCCCCGGCACCUCCACCCCACCUCCUGUCUCUGUGGAGUGGACUCCUCUCGGCCCUCAUCCCGGUGGAGUCCUACAGAGUCUGUACUUUUGUGUCGGGCUCAUUUCACUGAGCAUCAUGUUUUUAAAGCUCAUCCAUGUUGUAGCACGUGUCACAAUUUCCUUCCUUGUUAUGGCUGAAUAAUGUUUCACGCCACGUUUUGUUUAUCCAUCAUCUGUCCAUGGACAUUUGGGUUGUUUCCACCUUUUGGCUGUUGUAAAUAAUGCUGCUCUGAACAUGGGUGUACAAUUAUCUGUUUUGGUCCCUGCUUUCAAUCCUUUUGGGUGUGUACCCAGAAGUGGAAUUGCUAAUAAUUCCAGGUUUAAUUUAUUGAGAAACUGCCAUCCUGUUUUCCUCAGUGGCUGCGCCAUUUUACUUUCCUACAGCAAUGAAUGAGCCAGGGUUCCAGCUUCUCCACAUUCUCACCACCACUUGUUUUCUGGGGUGUGCAUGUGUGCGUGUACGUGUGCGUGUGUGUGCGUGUGUGUUGUUUUUUUAUAGAAUAGCCAUCCUAAUGGGUGUGAGGUCAUAUCUUGUAGUUUUAAUCUGCGUUUCCCUAAUGAUCAGUGAUGCUGAGCAUCUUUUCAUGGGCUUAUUGGCCAUUUGUACAUCUGUGGAGAAAUGUCUGUUCCAGUCCUUUGCCCAGUUUUGAGUCGGAUUUUUUGUUUUUUGUUAUUGAGUUAUAAAGGUUCUUUAUAUUCUGAAUAUUAAUCCCUUAUCAGAUAUAGCAUUUACAAAUAUUUUCUCCCAUUCCAUAGGUUGCCUUUUCACUCUCUUGAUAGUGCCCUUUGAUGAACAGGAGUUUUAAAUUUUAGCAUCGUCCAAUUUAUCUAUUUUUUCUUUCACUGCCUGUGCUUUUGGUGUCAUCUCCAAGAAAUCAUUGCCAGAUCCAAUGUCGUGAAGAUUUCUCUCUCCAUUUUCUUCUGAGAGUUUUAUGGUUUUAGCUCUCAAGUUUAGAUCUUUCAUCCAUCUUGAGUGAAUUUUUGUAUAUAGUGUCUGGUAAGGGUCCACCUUUGUUCUUUUGCAGGUGGAGAUCCAGAUUUCCCAGCACUAGUUAUUUGUCGAAAAGACUGUCCUUUCCCCAUUGAAUGGUCUUGGCACCCUUGUCAAGAAUCACUUGCUGUAUGGGAGGGUGUAUUUCUGGGCUCUCUAUUCCAUCUCGUGGUGUCCAUGUCUGUCUUUAUGCCAGUGCCACACUGUUGUGAAUCCUGGAGCUUGUGGUAGGUCCUGAAGUCAGGGAUCGUGAGUCCUCCGGCUUCGUUCUCCUUUUUCAAGAGAGUCUUGGCUUUUUGGGAUCCCUUGAGAUUCCAUAUGAAUUUUUGGAUGGGCUUUUCUAUUUCUGCAACAAAACCACCUUUUGGAUUUUGAGAGGGAUUGCAGUGAAUUUGGAGACUGCUCUGGGUGGCACUGACAUUUUAACAAUACUCAGUCUCCCAGCCCGCGAGCAUGGGGUGUCUUUCUGUUCCUUUAGGUUCUCUUUGACUUCUCUCAGCACUGCUUUGUAGUUUUCAGCGUACAGGUCUUUCACCUCCUUGGUUAAGUUUAUUCCUAAGUAUUUUAUUCUCUUUGGUGCUAUGGUAAAUGGAAUUAUAUCACAAUUUCCUUUCAAAUUGCUCAUUAUUAGUGUGAUUUUCCGUGUGUUGAUUUGGUAUCCCACGAUUUUGCUGAAUGGAUCAUUCCUGACAGUUUUUUGCGGAAUCUUUAGCAUUUUCCACGUAUAACAUCCCGCCAUCCGCAAACAGGGAUACUGUGCUUCCUCCACUCCAAUCUGGACGCUCGUGUGGAUUCAUCACGUUAUCACGUCUGUGACGUAGCGUGGCCGUUGCCUUGUCCUCACUGCUCGAUAGUGUCCCCUCACGUCACUGUCCUACAGUCACUCCUCCAUUCUGCUGUCAGUGGACAUUCGAGCUCCUUCUGCUUUUUGGCUAUUACCUGUAGGAGUCCUUUAAUGACUUAUAAUUCCAUUUAUUUAGGGGCCAAAUACUAAAUAUUUAGUACUAGAUACUAAACAAAUAUCCAGUGCUAAAGACUAAAUAAAAACCUAAAUAUUUAAUUAAAUACUUAGGAGUAGAAUUGCUGGGUCACAAACAGAUGUGCUUCCAGUGUUACUAAAAACUGCCCAAACUUUUUCCAAAGUGGCUGUACCAAUUCGCAUUCCCACCGACAGCACCUGGGAAUUCUCCUGUCACAUCCUUGCUGGCGCUGGGUGAGUCAGCCCUUGAUUUUGGCUGUUCUCGUGGGCGUGGGACGGCAGGACACCCUGGCUGGAUUAACCUCUCUGUUGACUGAGGACGCGAGCACCUUUCCAUGUGCCUCUUGGCCGUUCAUGUGUCUGCUUCUGUGAAGUGUCCAUCCCCACCUGCUGCCCGUUGUAUCCUGGGUUGUUUGCUUUUGCUGUUGAUGUGUGGGAGGAGUUCUUCCUGUGUCCUGCACGUGAGCUCUUUGUCAGAUAUAUGUAAUGAAUUUUUUUCUUAAAUUGAAGUAUAAUUAUUCAAUGGAAAAGCUUUAGCAAUAAAAAAAGAAAAGGAAUUCCUGUUAUAUGAUUUAAAUCCUCUGAAAUGUACUGAGGGUCCUUUUAUGGUAAAGGUGCUGUGUAUGUGGCCAGAUGCUCUGGAGGGAUACCCUGGAGGGACACCCUGGAGGGACGUGUGGAGUGUGGCAUUCUGUGAAGAUCCUUUGGGGCAUUUCUAUUCAAGUCUACCUCCUUACUGACUUUUUGUCUAAUUGUUCCAUCAAUGACUGUAGUGGGCUGAAAAAUGGCUCCCAGAGAUGUCAGGUCCUAACCCCUGGAGCCUGUGAGUGUGACCUAAUAUGGACAACAUGUCUUUGCAGAUGUGGUUAAAUUAAGGACGUGGAGAUGGGAGACUGUCCUGGAUUAUCUGGGUGGGCCUCAAAUGCAAUCACAAGUGACCUUCUAAGAAAGAGGCAGAGGGAAAGUUAAAAUACUGCACGACUUUAUUUUUCAGAGCAGCUUUAGGUUCACAGUAACAUGGAGUGAAAAGUACAGAGUUCCCCUGCCUCCCCCAUUAGCAACACCCCUCACCAGUGGCUCAUUUGUUAUAAUAGAUGAACCUACACUGACACGUCAUCACCAUCCAAGGUCCAUAGGUUGCAUUAGGGUUCACUCUUGGUGUCGUACAUUCUGUGAGUUUGGACAAAUGUAUAAUGAUACGUAUCCACCAUUAUAGGAUCACGCAGAAUAACUUCACUGCUCUAAAAAUCCUCUGUGCUCCCUCCCCUGAGCCCUGGAAACCCCUGAUCUUUCUACCGUCUCCACUCUUUGGGGCGGAGGGAGACUUGACACGCACCGAGGAGGGGUGACGUGAGGAUGGAGCAGAGGGUGUUUGAAGAUGCUGGCCUUGAAGACUGGAGUCCUGCAGCCACAAGCCAAGGAUGCCUGAAGCCACCAGGAGCUGGGAGAGGCAGGAACGACUGUCCCCUGGAGCCUCCGGGGGGAGCGUGUCCUGCUGAUGCCUUGAUUUUAGACCAGGGAAACUGACCUCAGACUUCUGACCUCCAGAACUAGGAGGACCCAGUCGCGAUGGGCAGAGAUGCUCCUAGUCAGAGAGGCCGGGGGUCACCAGGUGAAAGCAAGCAGAUGGUGCCCCCCUCCCAGAAUCCUCUAACCGGGGGUGGGAGCAUCUGCUCGGGCCCAGCCCAGGCCCACUGUAGCCCCUCUCUGAGGCUCUGCGUCCCCACCCCCUCCUCGCCCACAGGUCCCUGUCCUCCCCUCCUGCAAUCGCAAACCUGCCCAGGCCCAGGCCCGCCCCCGGGGGUCUGCAGCUCAGUGGCAUACACUCCAUUUCAGGGAGAAAUCUUUCUUCUCUGGGUCACGAGGGGGUACAGAGAGCAAAUGGCUUUCUCACCUGAAAAAUGCACUCAGUUGUAAAAUGCAUCUCUUGCUCAUAAUGUCAGGGGCUCCCUGCAGCCCUGCAAUGAACCACUGGUGCCUCACUGUCAACAGGCACAGAGCCCUGUCCAGAAGGUCCUUCCUGCACUGGAGCUGGCCUGUUGUCUCCAGUUACCCCGUGGUUGGAUUAGCAUCCAGUCUCAGCUCUUCAGAAGCACCAAGGGGAAGAGGUUUUCCAUUGUUCCAUCUUGAAGAGCCGUAGCCCGUGUCCCGUGCCCGAUGGGCUGCUCCCUGUGCUGCCCACUGGGCAGAGCUCUGGUGGGGACACCAAGAGCCAGGCAUCUUUGUUCUGUCCCGUGCCGAGCAUGUCCUGUUCCUUGCUGUGGAAUCCUGCAAUGGCUCCAGGCAGCAGGUGUGACAGGCGGGCCUGUAGCCAGGGACCGCGUGCCUGGAUACGCACUAGCAGUUCCGGGAAGCAGGGAGCUCUCCAGAACCUGGAUCAUCACCUCACCCACGGAAGGAGAGUCACCCAAAGACACCACCGGCCGGGUAUCUGCCCCAAUGUCCCCGAUGUGCAUUUGGUGAUGUUCCUGGAGUGCGGGGCGCGAGUCCACCUGAGCUCCUCUGGCCUUGGCCUUUGCCUGUUGAUGGAGAAAGAAGUGAGGACAGCCCCGUGUCUCCAGUCACCAGCAGAUCCCUGCCAGCCUGUCCCGUGUUUCUGAAGCUCCAGGCAGAGCCACACGGUGUCGCCUUGUCCUGAUAAAUGACAGAAGUGAUUGUCAGUACAGAGCCGUCUGUGUCUCAUUUGGCCUCUGGUUUCACCUUCGUCUCGCGAUGACUCUCCCGCGUCUCUGUGCUGACUUCUCUCAUUUUCCUGCUGUUGGAACUUCCCCACCUCCCGGUGGUGUUUCUUCCCGGUAGACACUGCGGUGCUGUGUUCUGGCUUUGGCCAGUGGCACAGUCCUCUGCUCCGUCUUCUGUGCCUCCCCGCCGCCUGCUGUGUCUUUGCUCUGCUGCUCCGCGGUUCCCAAUCACCCUCAUCCUGGAUCUCUAGUGACAGGAAGGUGUUGGAAGCUUUGUCUUCUCCCAGUGGGGACGGUUCUGUAGGAUGUCUCCCCUCUCACAGUGGGGUUUCUGGCUCAAAGAAGGUGUGUCCAACUUUGAUAGCUGUGGUCAUAUUGUCGCUAAUUCUGAAAUUGGGAAUUGUUGAUUUUUCCUUAAUUUUUGCCAAUCGGACGGUUGGAAAUAGCCUUCCUUAUGGCUUUAAUAAGCCUUUCUCUGCUGCUGAGCUUAAGCACAUGUGCGUAUUUUUACCGGCCAUUUGAAUUUUCCUCCACUGGAUUCUUCUCUGUAGUCUUUGCGCGCUGCUAGCUUUGGGAGCCAGCCCAGCGUGUGGACCCCCAGCAGAGUCCUCGGCGGGAGACCUUGUCUUGCCUGUGACACCCCUCGUCAGAGCUGUGGGCGGGGGCAGGCCGAGAUGGCUCGGCCCUGCAGUGUGGCCCCUUGGCGCCCACACAGGAAGGGGGGUAACACAGCCUGUGCCAAGCGCUUGGAGAGUAUCGUCCCAGUGACAGAGAAAGCCCUCACUUCCUGCCAGGCCUGGAGCCCCUCCUUGUAUGUCUCCCAGAAGUUUCAGGAGGUGGCAUGUGGGUCUCACUCCCACUAGGGAGAUAGAUUUAUGGGGUUGCCCCUGUUCUCACUCACGAUGAGGUCCUGGGAGUGUCGGGCAGCUAGUGUUCUGACCUGCCCACCCUGCCGAGGGGGACCCCUGUGCUGACCCCUCCAACCCGGAGCUGGCACCGUGACUGGGGUUCUGGGUCGGCCCCCAGGGAGGGCCGAGGGUGUUUGGGAGAUCGAGGUGCAGUCACGUCACAGGAAGGAGAGGCAGGUGGCCAAGGUGUGCACCUUGGUGAGACCUGUGCCUCCACUCCCGCAUCCGCUCACUGCGUCCUCUCUCUCCUCUUAGAUGCUGGGCUUUGGGCAAAGCUGCCCUCACCCCUGACUCUAGGAGGACUUGUGACUCAGGCCUGGCCACUGAGAGGCAGCGAGAGCACCCACCCCGCGGCUUGGAGAUGGUGCAGGAAGGGCCAGAGCCCAGGCACACUCACGGGCUGCAGUUCAGAGGCCUCUGCAGGGACUUUGGAGAGAGAUGUGAGCUCGUUCCACCGAAUCCUGAGGCAGGUAGAUCUGUGGCUGCUGGCAGCUGUGUGUGGAGCCCAAAAAGAGAGCCAAGAAGGGAGGAAGAGAAAAGAGGCAAGAGAGAGAGAUGGGGUUCUAAAAUGGCAUCUGUGUGCCUGGAUACAGCCAUGCCUGCAGGCAGAUUACCUCAGCACAUUUCAUAUGUGAGAGCCAACACAUUCCACUUGAUUGCUAAAGCUGUGUGUGUGUAAGAUUUUCUGUCAUUUCAAGCCAAAAGAGUCCUAAUGGACACAAGUUUGCAUAUUUGAAAAGGUGAAAAAAUAGUACACCACUUGGUCAUGACUUGGUGAGUUUGUGAUUGAGUUAUGUGAAUGCGCAGCAGUGGGGAGGGGUCCUGGCCCCUCCUGGUCAGGCACUCUCUCUGGGGAAGAUGUUUCCCUCUUUCCCUUUGCUCCUUUCUGCAGCCCCGAGAGAAAUGACCCUCUCAGGGAUUCUGACAGACCCAGGAGUCA
ensembl:lncRNA